CAAGAAUGGUGCCUCCGCAGUAAGGCUCCGGGUAAGACCGGAGCCGAAAGGGAAGCCGGUGAGAAGCCGGCACGGUCCCGCCACUGUAACCGGGUUUCGCGAGAAGGAGCGCGAAGACCCGGGAGUCAGACACCUGCUGUAGAGGAGGAGCAGAC
rfam:Actinobacteria bacterium RBG_16_64_13 RBG_16_scaffold_4632, whole genome shotgun sequence.